GACGAACGCUGGCGGCGUGCUUAACACAUGCAAGUCGAACGGAAAGGCCCUGCUUUUGUGGGGUGCUCGAGUGGCGAACGGGUGAGUAACACGUGAGUAACCUGCCCUUGACUUUGGGAUAACUUCAGGAAACGGGGGCUAAUACCGGAUAGGAGCUCCUGCUGCGGUGAGGGGGGGGGAAAUUUUCGGCGGUUGGGGAUGGACGCGCGGCUUAUCAGCUUGUUGGUGGGGUAGUGGCUUACCAAGGCUUUGACGGGUAGCCGGCCUGAGAGGGUGACCGGCCACAUUGGGACUGAGAUACGGCCCAGACUCCUACGGGAGGCAGCAGUGGGGAAUAUUGCACAAUGGGCGGAAGCCUGAUGCAGCAACGCCGCGUGCGGGAUGACGGCCUUCGGGUUGUAAACCGCUUUCGCCUGUGACGAAGCGUGAGUGACGGUAAUGGGUAAAGAAGCACCGGCUAACUACGUG
rnacentral:rRNA from 1 species